AGUCAAGUGAUUAAUUUAUAUGCGAUAGAAAUAUUAUUUCUAUUAUUUACUAGAAGUCGAGAAAUUAUUCCGACUGCAACGCAGAUUAAAUAUACGGAUUUAAUCUAGAUAUUAAAUGGCUUGUGAAGUGAAUUAAAUCUACUUAUUUAAUUUAUACAUGAAUAAUGAGCAUAAGCCAAUAUUUGAUUGCAAACACGCGAUUAAAUAGUAGAUGCACUGAGUAACCAAGACACAAAGAUUUAUUAUUAUUUACAAUUAGAACUUCAACCACCACUAUCAAUCAAUGCAGUAAUUGAUUUUUUUUCUGAGUACAAGAAGAAAUCUUUGCAUAUAAGCUCACCACUGGCAGCAAGAGUGACGCAGUACAUUUGGGUAAAAAAAUAAAACUCUCGAAUUUGCUGGCUUUAGGAGGAAGAUCAUGCUUAAGACAAUCAUCUUCCACUAUCUAAUUAUUUAUCAACCACUACCUCCACUUAACAAAAAUGAGACCUACGCACUAGCCUGCACCACCACCCUUUUUCUCCACCAAACUUUCCACUUACUUCAUUCCUUCUCUCAUACACCAAGCACCAGAAAGGGAGAUGAAGUUCCUGCUGCCAACUGCCAAGUAUCGAGAGUUUCUUCUCCAUUGAAUUCAUUAUCAACAACAGCAGCUACCAACACAAAAUACUCAAGGUCAAGCGCGAGAGUAAGAACUACACAAGGAGUUAGAGUACCUUAGCAAAACUUUGCUAUCAGGUUGAGCUGUGAUGGGCGAUGAAGUGUUGUUGCUGAGUAGAGUUUUUGUCGAAUUUAAAGUAGGCUCAGAAAGGAUACAUGUCUUCAUACAUGUAUCUCAGUUAUGCAUUCCGCUGUAAACACUGAUUAUUUCAGUUACACCUUCCGUUGCAAACUCUGAUAAUGUUUUAGCCAAGCCCCUAAAAAUGCCUUUUUCCUUUUAAGGAAUAUAACGCGUAUACAAGUUCUUUGA